UUCCGGUUGAUCCUGCCGGACCCGACUGCUAUUUGGGUGAGAAUAAGCCAUGCGAGUCGAAUGGGAUACCUAAAUUUUCCAUGGCAAACUGCUCAUUAACACAUGAUCAACUUACCCUAUAGAGAAAAAUAACCUCGGGAAACUGAGGAUAAUGUUUCGUAGUUGAAUAGGCUUGGAAAAGUUUUUCAAUAAAAGGGAUAAAAUAAAUGGUUUUUAUCUGCUAUAGGAUAGGAUCGUGGACGAUUAUGGUUGUUGGUGAGGUAACGGCUCACCAAGCCGAUAAUCGAUAGGGGCCGUGAGAGCGGGAGCCCCGAGAUGGGUACUGAGACAACGACCCAGGCCUUACGAGGCGCAGCAGGCGCGGAACCUCCGCAAUACACGAAAGUGUGACGGGGUUACCCAAAGUGUUCAAUUCUGAACUGUGGUAGGUGAGUAAUGUUCCCUACUAGAAAGGAGAGGGCAAGGCUGGUGCCAGCCGCCGCGGUAAAACCAGCUCUUCAAGUGGUCGGGAUAAUUAUUGGGCUUAAAGUGUCCGUAGCCGGUUUAGUAAGUUCCUGGUAAAAUCGGGUAGCUUAACUAUCCGUAUGCUAGGAAUACUGCUAUACUAGAGGGCGGGAGAGGUCUGAGGUACUACAGGGGUAGGGGUGAAAUCUUAUAAUCCUUGUAGGACCACCAGUGGCGAAGGCGUCAGACUGGAACGCGCCUGACGGUGAGGGACGAAAGCCAGGGGAGCGAACCGGAUUAGAUACCCGGGUAGUCCUGGCCGUAAACGAUGCAUACUAGGUGAUGGUACGGCCAUGAGCCGUAUCAGUGCCGUAGGGAAACCGUUAAGUGUGCCGCCUGGGAAGUACGGUCGCAAGGCUAAAACUUAAAGGAAUUGGCGGGGGAGCACCACAAGGGGUGAAGCCUGCGGUUCAAUUGGAUUCAACGCCGGA
rnacentral:rRNA from 1 species